rnacentral:rRNA from 1 species
AUUGAACGCUGGCGGCAGGCCUAACACACGCAAGUCGAGCGCGAAAGUCUUCGGAUGAGUAAAGCGGCGGACGGGUGAGUAAUGCAUGGGAAUCUGCCUGGUAGUGGGGGACAACGUUUCGAAAGAGACGCUAAUACCGCAUACGCCCUACGGGGGAAAGGGGGGGAUCUUCGGACCUCUCGCUAUCAGUUGAGCCCAUGUCAGAUUAGCUAGUUGGUAGGGUAAAGGCCUACCAAGGCGACGAUCUGUAACUGGUCUGAGAGGAUGAUCAGUCACACUGGAACGGAGACACGGUCCAGACUCCUACGGGAGGCAGCAGUGGGGAAUAUUGGACAAUGGGGGAAACCCUGAUCCAGCCAUGCCGCGUGUGUGAAGAAGGCCCUAGGGUUGUAAAGCACUUUCAGUGGGGAGAAAGGUUAUUCACCUAAUACGUGAGUAAAUUGAUGCUACCCACAGAAGAAGCACCGGCUAACUCCGUGCCAGCAGCCGCGGUAA